UACGUAGGGUGCGAGCGUUAAUCGGAAUUACUGGGCGUAAAGGGCUCGUAGGCGGCCAACUAAGUCGGAUGUGAAAUCCCCAGGCUUAACCUGGGAACUGCAUCCGAUACUGGAUGGCUUGAAUCCGGGAGAGGGAUGCAGAAUUCCAGGUGUAGCGGUGAAAUGCGUAGAUAUCUGGAGGAAUACCUGUGGCGAAAGCGGCGCACUGGACCACAACUGACGCUGAGGCGCGAAAGCUAGGGGAGCAAACAGG
rnacentral:rRNA from 1 species